UUUACGCCCCCAUUUCUCUAUCAGAAACCCCCAAUACACAAAAGAAAAAAAACCCCUUUCUAUGCAAGAUCGCUUAAAACCCUUUCUCAGGCGAUCACUUUCUCUCAAAUCUAUUAGUGUGAUGCCGUUGCAUCUCGGGUGGUUCAUAUGUAUCCACUGCCGUCACAUUUUAAUUUGUAUCCAGUGCCAACAGAUUUCAAAAAUUGCGGUCAGAUUACAAUUUGUAUCCACGCCGAUUUGGGAUGGAGUUGGGUUUUAAAAUUUAAUGGAUUGAUUUUCAAUUGUUUUUUUUAUUUAUUUAUAUUAUUACUACGAAGGGUGUUGAUCUUCAAUCAGCACCAUAAACCACCGCCGCUCUCUCUAAUCGCUGCCCGGAAAUAGUCGCUGCUGCCAUCUCCAAAUAACUCGAUUCGAUUCAACACAGAGAUCCACAUUGGUAAAUUUUGAAUGAAAUGAUCACACGGGUAUGUAAUCAUUCAUCACCUUGGAGCAGAUCUUUGGAACUCUAAAGGAGCACAAGAAAUCUAAGGCCUAUCAUGAUGUUGACAAGAACAUAUGGUUCCGUAAUUACCAGGUUGGUGAUGAAGAUAGUGACCAUAUAGUUCAAUAGGACCUAAUUCUGUAUUUGUUUUACCGUAUUUAGUUAAGAAAUAGGAAUUUCGACUAUCAUUUAGCAAAGGUUGUUAGAAAACAUGAUAUGUUAAUAAUUUGUACUUAUUUUUAAUGCUGAAAGCGUUCUGCUUCCAGAUCCAUCUCUUUA